ensembl:lncRNA
UGGGUCAGACCCACCUGGAAUUCCAUUCCAGCCUUCAGGUGGCACAAGUCACCUGAGCGGGAGGGUCCCGGGGCUGGCAGGAUGGGGAGAGAAGGAGCCUUGUUCCUUCGGCCCGAGGAGGGGCCUCCAUCCUGGUUCAGGACACGCUUCUCUUCUAAAAAAGAAUAAAUGAGUCACGUGUGACAAGUCACCCAAAGGAACUCAGCUUCAAUCAGCCACUUCAAAUUCUCCAUGGGACAGAAAAGAUAUAUUAAACAGACACAUUUAAAAUAUCCUGCUUAUAAGGCUGAAGACUGAACUCCAGACUGCUCCAUAUGAAGAUCUCCAGAUUUACUCUGGCUCCAUCAUUUCUUGCAACCACGUCCAGGUGGAUCAUCUUCAGCACUGCCCAUCUCAACCCUGAACCCAUCUCCUCCUGGGAAGUCAAUCGGCAAGUUGUCAGCACUGGCCUCAGCAGGAAGCUUUCGUCCCUCAACUCUUCCUGCCAAAAGCUCGGCAAAGCCCACUCCGUCUGGCCUGGUAUUCUGUUGUGCUUCCUGUCUUCUUCCCACUAGGUUUGCUUCCUGAACACAGCCCCUCCUUUGCACACUCCAGAGAGCUGUAUGUAGGCUUUAGGAGAGCUUCCUAGACCUUGGCUUCUUGCCUGCCAGGCCCUUGGUUGCUUCCCUCACAACCUCCAGAGGAAGAAUCCAUGCUCUUCCUUUGGAAACACAUGGGCCAUCUGGGGCCAAUGCUAG